rnacentral:rRNA from 1 species
CUCAAUGAGAGUUUGAUCCUGGCUCAGGACGAACGCUGGCGGCGUGGAUAAGGCAUGCAAGUCGAACGGAUUUAUUUUUGUUAGCAAUAACUAAAAUGAAUUAGUGGCAGACGAGGUAGUAACACGUAGGUACGUACCCCAAAGUCGGGCAUAACUCAUCGAAAGGUGGGCUAAUUCCCGAUAUUGUCUCGAGAGUAAUCGAGGGACGAAAGGAGCAAUCCGCUUUGGGAACGGCCUGCGGGCUAUCAGCUUGUUGGUAGGGUAACGGCCUACCAAGGCGAUGACGGCUAGGGGGCGUGAGAGCGUGAUCCCCACCGACGGAACUGAGACACGGUCCGUACACCUACGGGUGGCAGCAGUCGAGAAUCUUCGACAAUGGGCGAAAGCCUGAUCGAGCGACGCCGCGUGCAGGAUGAAAUCCUUCGGGAUGUAAACUGCUUUUGGCAGGGAAAAACACAAUGAUGGUACCUGCAGAAUAAGGGCCUGCAAAUCUCGUGCCAGCAGCCGCGGUAAUACGAGAGGCCCAAGCGUUGUCCGGAGUUACUGGGCGUAAAGGGUGCGUAGGGGGUUGUGUUAGCCUCACCUUAAAUCUUCAUGCCUAACAUGAAGGCUGGGCGGGGAACGGCACAACUUGAGGGCGCGAGAGGCGAGUGGAACUCAUGGUGGAGGGGUGAAAUCCGUUGAUAUCAUGGGGAACACCAAAGGCGAAGGCAGCUCGCUGGCGCGUACCUGACCCUGAAGCACGAAAGCGUGGGGAUCAAAAAGGAUUAGAUACCCUUGUAGUCCACGCCCUAAACGAUGAUGACUAGCUAUUGGAAGUAUCGACCCUUCGAGUGGCGAAGCUAACGCGUUAAGUCAUCCGCCUGGGAAGUACGAUCGCAAGAUUAAAACUCAAAGGAAUAGACGGGGAAUUUUCCGAAAGGAAAAUUUUCUCACAAGGACGGCGGAACAGGUGCUGCAUGGUUGUCGUCAGUUCGUGGCUUGAGCUGUUCCCUUAAGUGGGGUAACGAACGCAACCCCCGUUGGCUGUUAUACGUGUCAGCUGAGACCGCUCCCCGCCUACGUUUAUAAAUUUUUGUAGAUGUAGGCGGGGAGAGGAAGUGGGGAUGACGCCAAAUCAGCAUGGCCCUCUGAUGCCCUGGGCUACACACGUGCUACAAUGGCCGAUACAAUGGGUUGCGAAGUCGCGAGACGGAGCCAAUCCCAUCAAAGUCGGCCCCAGUUCGGAUUGGAGUCUGCAACUCGACUCCAUGAAGUUGGAAUCGCUAGUAAUCGCAGGUCAGCUAUACUGCGGUGAAUACGUUCUCGAGUCUUGUACUCACCGCCCGUCAAGUCAGGGGAGCCGGGAGUGGCCAAAGUCGCCAGCUCGACUGGGACUACGCCAAGCUCGGUGACAAAGACUAAGUCGUAACAAGGCACGCGUAGCGGAAGCUGUGCGUGGAUUUUCUCCUAG